rnacentral:rRNA from 1 species
UACGUAGGCAGCGAGCGUUGUUCGGAGUUACUGGGCGUAAAGGGUGUGUAGGCGGUUGUUUAAGUUUGGUGUGAAAUCUCCCGGCUCAACUGGGAGGGUGCGCCGAAUACUGAAUGACUCGAGUGUGGGAGAGGUGAGUGGAAUUCCUGGUGUAGCGGUGAAAUGUGCAGAUAUCAGGAAGAACACCCGUGGCGAAGGCGGCUCUCUGGGACGGUACUGACGCUGAGACGCGAAAGCGUGGGGAGCGAACAGG